rnacentral:precursor_RNA from 1 species
AAUUCGAGAGCUCGAGCCCUAGCAGAGGCCAGGGGGGGUGGGGCUCUGCUCUCUGAUUGAGCCGUGCCAAUAUCACGUCCCACUCGCCCUCGCGCGCGGACGUUGCCGCCGCGGUGUCCGUCCGUAUCACAUCCGUUAGUUCUUUGCCUCGCUGAACUCUGCAUUAAUUAAUGUGCGUAUAUUAUAUCCUCA